rnacentral:rRNA from 1 species
CCUACGGGAGGCAGCAGUGAGGUAUAUUGGGCAAUGCCCGAAAGGGUGACCCAGCAACGCCGCGUGGAGGAUGAAGUCCUUCUGGACGUAAACUCCUUUUAGAGGGGACGAAAAGCCCGAUUUGUCGGGAAUUGUCGGUACCCUCAGAAAAAGCACCGGCUAACUACGUGCCAGCAGCCGCGGUAAUACGUAGGGUGCAAGCGCUGUCCGGAUUCACUGGGUGUAAAGGGUGCGCAGGCGGGCUCUUAAGUCAAAGGGAAAAUCUCUCGGCUUAACCGAGAAAUUGCCUUUGAUACUGAGAGCGUUGAGUACGGGAGAGGGAGAUGGAAUUCCAGGUGUAGCGGUGAAAUGCGUAGAUAUCGGGAGGAACACCGGAGGCGAGGGCGGUCUCCGGGCCCGUUACUGACGCUCAGGCACGAAAGCGUGGGGAGCAAACAGGAUUAGAUCCCCUGGUGGU